rnacentral:rRNA from 1 species
GUGGGGAAUAUUGGACAAUGGGCGAAAGCCUGAUCCAGCCAUGCCGCGUGUGUGAAGAAGGUCUUCGGAUUGUAAAGCACUUUAAGUUGGGAGGAAGGGCAGUAAGUUAAUACCUUGCUGUUUUGACGUUACCGACAGAAUAAGCACCGGCUAACUUCGUGCCAGCAGCCGCGGUAAUACGAAGGGUGCAAGCGUUAAUCGGAAUUACUGGGCGUAAAGCGCGCGUAGGUGGUUUUGUGAGUUGGAGGUGAAAUCCCCGGGCUCAACCUGGGAACUGCCUCCAAAACUGCAUGACUAGAGUACGGUAGAGGGUAGUGGAAUUUCCUGUGUAGCGGUGAAAUGCGUAGAUAUAGGAAGGAACACCAGUGGCGAAGGCGACUACCUGGACUGAUACUGACACUGAGGUGCGAAAGCGUGGGGAGCAAACAGGAUUAGAAACCCUUGUAGUCC